ACGCUGGCGGCGUGCCUAAUACAUGCAAGUAGAACGCUGAAGAGAGGAGCUUGCUCUUCUUGGAUGAGUUGCGAACGGGUGAGUAACGCGUAGGUAACCUGCCUCGUAGCGGGGGAUAACUAUUGGAAACGAUAGCUAAUACCGCAUAACAAUAGGUGACACAUGUCAUUUAUUUGAAAGGGGCAAUUGCUCCACUACAAGAUGGACCUGCGUUGUAUUAGCUAGUAGGUGAGGUAACGGCUCACCUAGGCGACGAUACAUAGCCGACCUGAGAGGGUGAUCGGCCACACUGGGACUGAGACACGGCCCAGACUCCUACGGGAGGCAGCAGUAGGGAAUCUUCGGCAAUGGGGGCAACCCUGACCGAGCAACGCCGCGUGAGUGAAGAAGGUUUUCGGAUCGUAAAGCUCUGUUGUAAGUCAAGAACGAGUGUGAGAGUGGAAAGUUCACACUGUGACGGUAGCUUACCAGAAAGGGACGGCUAACUACGUGCCAGCAGCCGCGGUAAUACGUAGGUCCCGAGCGUUGUCCGGAUUUAUUAGGCGUAAAGCGAGCGCAGGCGGUUUGAUAAGUCUGAAGUUAAAGGCUGUGGCUCAACCAUAGUUCGCUUUGGAAACUGUCAAACUUGAGUGCAGAAGGGGAAAGUGGAAUUCCAUGUGUAGCGGUGAAAUGCGUAGAUAUAUGGAGGAACACCGGUGGCGAAAGCGGCUCUCUGGUCUGUAACUGACGCUGAGGCUCGAGAGCGUGGGGAGCGAACAGGAUUAGAUACCCUGGUAGUCCACGCCGUAAACGAUGAGUGCUAGGUGUUGGAUCCUUUCCGGGAUUCAGUGCCGCAGCUAACGCAUUAAGCACUCCGCCUGGGGAGUACGACCGCAAGGUUGAAACUCAAAGGAAUUGACGGGGGCCCGCA
rnacentral:rRNA from 1 species